rnacentral:rRNA from 1 species
UACGUAGGGGGGCAAGCGUUGUCCGGAUUUAUUGGGCGUAAAGAGCGUGUAGGCGGCCAAGUAAGUCUGCUGUGAAAACUCGAGGCUUAACCUCGAGCUGUCGGCGGAAACUAUUUGGCUAGAGUCCGGAAGAGGAGAAUGGAAUUCCCGGUGUAGCGGUGAAAUGCGCAGAUAUCGGGAAGAACACCCGUGGCGAAGGCGGUUCUCUGGGACGGUACUGACGCUGAGACGCGAAAGCGUGGGGAGCGAACAGG